rnacentral:rRNA from 1 species
CGAUUACGGGGUGCUGCAGGCGCGAAAACUCUGCAAUAAGCGAAAGCUUGACAGGGUUAUUCUGAGUGAUUUCCGCUAAGGAAAUCUUUUGGCACCUCUAAAAAUGGUGCAGAAUAAGGGGUGGGCAAGCCUGGUGUCAGCCGCCGCGGUAAUACCAGCACCCCGAGUGGUCGGGACGAUUAUUGGGCCUAAAGCAUCCGUAGCCGGUUCUACAAGUCUUCCGUUAAAUCCACCUGCUCAACAGUUGGGCUGCGGAGGAUACUAUAGAGCUAGGAGGCGGGAGAGGCAAGCGGUACUCAGUGGGUAGGGGUAAAAUCCGUUGAUCCACUGAAGACCACCAGUGGUGAAGGCGGCUUGCCAGAACGCGCUCGACGGUGAGGGAUGAAAGCUGGGGGAGCAAACCGGAUUAGAUACCCGGGUAGUCCCAGCUGUAAACGAUGCAGACUCGGUGAUGGGUUGGCCUCGCGCCUGCCCAGUGCCGCAGGGAAGCCGUUAAGUCUGCCGCCUGGGGAGUACGGUCGCAAGACUGGAACUUAAAGGAA